CCAAAAAAGGCGGUAGGCAUGAUUCUUAGGCAAAUCCGGGAAUCUCUAUGCCGAGCACCGAGACGAGUCCUAUGAGGACGAAGUGACUGACACCACGCUUCCAGGAAAAGCCACUAAGCUUCAGCUGUAGAAAAACCGUACCGCAAACCGACACAGGUAGGCAGGGUGAGAAUCCCAAGGCGCUUGAGAGAACUCGGGUGAAGGAACUAGGCAAAAUGGCACCGUAACUUCGGGAGAAGGUGCGCCUCUUGGUGUGGUCACGUGCGUGACUGAGCAUCGAGGGGUCGCAGUAACCUGGCCGCUGCGACUGUUUAUCAAAAACACAGCACUCUGCAAACACGAAAGUGGACGUAUAGGGUGUGACGCCUGCCCGGUGCUGGAAGGUUAAUUGAUGGGGUCAGCCGCAAGGCGAAGCUCUUGAUCGAAGCCCCAGUAAACGGCGGCCGUAACUAUAACGGUCCUAAGGUAGCGAAAUUCCUUGUCGGGUAAGUUCCGACCUGCACGAAUGGCGUAACGACAGCGGCCUGUCUCCACCCGAGACUCAGUGAAAUUGAAAUCGCUGUGAAGAUGCAGCGUUCCCGCGGCAAGACGGAAAGACCCCGUGAACCUUUACUAUAGCUUUACACUGAACGUUGAGUUCUUCUGUGUAGGAUAGGUGGGAUGCUAUGAAACCAGGACGCUAGUUCUGGUGGAGCCAUCCUUGAAAUACCACCCUGAAGUGCUUGACGUUCUAACCUAGGUCCGUAAUCCGGAUCGGGGACCGUCUAGGGUGGGUAGUUUGACUGGGGCGGUCUCCUCCCAAAGAGUAACGGAGGAGCACGAAGGUACGCUCAGCGCGGUGGGACAUCGCGCACUGUGUGCAAAGGCAUAAGCGUGCUUGACUGCGAGAUCGACGGAUCAAGCAGGUACGAAAGUAGGUCUUAGUGAUCCGGUGGUUCUGUAUGGAAGGGCCAUCGCUCAACGGAUAAAAGGUACUCCGGGGAUAACAGGCUGAUACCGCCCAAGAGUUCAUAUCGACGGCGGUGUUUGGCACCUCGAUGUCGGCUCAUCACAUCCUGGGGCUGUAGCCGGUCCCAAGGGUAUAGCUGUUCGCCAUUUAAAGUGGUACGCGAGCUGGGUUCAGAACGUCGUGAGACAGUUCGGUCCCUAUCUGUCGUGGGCGUUGGAGAUUUGAGGGGGGCUGCUCCUAGUACGAGAGGACCGGAGUGGACGUUCCGCUGGUGUUCGGGUUGUCAUGCCCAUGGCAUUGCCCGGUAGCUACGAACGGAAGUGAUAACCGCUGAAAGCAUCUAAGCGGGAAGCACGCCCCAAGAUGAGAUCUCCCGAGAGCUUGACUCUCCUAAAGGCACCAUCAAGACUAGGUGGUUGAUAGGCACGGUGUGGAAGUGCAGCAAUGCAUUGAGCCUACGUGUACUAAUGAGCCGUGAGGCUUGACCAA
rnacentral:rRNA from 1 species